CCCGAGUUGGUGCAGUGGUUAGCAUUUCCGGUGGCCACAGGUGGGAGAAGUCUCCAGCGUUGAACCUACUUGUCCCUUUGGGGCGGGAAGACUCAGGUUCAAAUCCUGAACUUGGGA